rnacentral:tRNA from 1 species
UCCCUGGUGGCUCAGUGGUAAAGAAUCUGCCUGCAGCGCAGGAGACCUGGGUUCAAUCCCUGGGUUGGGAA